rnacentral:rRNA from 1 species
UACGAAGGGGGCGAGCGUUGUUCGGAAUUACUGGGCGUAAAGGGCUCGUAGGCGGCCAACUAUGUCAGACGUGAAAUCCCUCGGCUUAACCGGGGAACUGCGUCUGAUACUGGAUGGCUUGAGUUUGGGAGAGGGAUGCGGAAUUCCAGGUGUAGCGGUGAAAUGCGUAGAUAUCUGGAGGAACACCGGUGGCGAAGGCGGCAUCCUGGACCAACACUGACGCUGAGUGAGCGAAAGCCAGGGGAGCAAACGGG